rnacentral:rRNA from 1 species
GUCCUUUUGAUUUUUAUUUAAGGUCUAUCCUGCUCACUGAUUUUAUAAUUAAAUAGCCGCAGUAUUUUGACUGUGCAAAGGUAGCAUAAUCAUUUGUCUCUUAAUUAGGGGCUGGUAUGAAUGGUUUGACGAAAAAACAACUUUAUUAAUUAAAUAUAUUGAAAUUUAUUUUUAAGUUAAAAAGCUUAAAUUUUUUUAUGGGACGAUAAGACCCUAUAGAACUUUAUUAUUUUUAUUUUUAAAAAAUUUUUGUUAAUUGAUUUUUUUAAUUUAAAAAUAAUUUUAUUGGGGUGAUAUUGAUUUAUAUUUAACAAUUAAUUUUAUUUUUCAAAAAUUAUUGUUUAUUAUUGAUCCAAUUAUGUUGAUUAUAAGUUUAAGUUACCUUAGGGAUAACAGCGUUAUUUAUCUUUAGAGUUCUUAUCGAAGGAUAAGUUUGCGA